AAUCAAACUAAUGUCAUUUACUGGUUUCUUAAGUUCUCACAUUGUGCUUGAGCAGGCACCGCCACUUCCCUUCACACGUCUGCGCCUCUCAGAGACCGACACCAAGUGAGACAUUCCUCUGAGGGAGCCAUGAAGAGGAAUGCGCGGAUCAUUCAAGGUUCACUUGAGCCAAAUGAAAAGAAACGGGCGCUUUCAUUCACUUGCUUCGAAAGGUUAUGAGUACAGGCGAAUCAAGUUAUUUGGCACUUAGUGAAAAGUGCCAGGGCAGAAGGAGCUCGUCUUGGCACGGAGGGAGGAUGAAUCCCAAACAGCCUGUCGACUUCACUCCCCGACGCUCCUCUGCCUGCCCCACUGACUGAGAUUUUAAUAAAUGAUGACAUGUGGUAUGAAUAAACCACAAGGCAGUGCUACUGCCAAAAGGCAGAGAGAGAUACGAAGGUAACACACAAGAGGUGAUAAAUAAGUCAACAAAAGCUCAUUUGUUCUGCUUGGCUCCUACAGUCAUUCUGCUAUUGCAUUCAAUAAGAUGUGAGCAGAGUGUAGGUAGUUAAUUUUUAAUUUUUUUGUAUUUCAAAGA